rnacentral:rRNA from 1 species
UACGUAGGGGGCAAGCGUUGUCCGGAUUUACUGGGCGUAAAGCGCGCGUAGGCGGAAGUUCAAGUCUGGCCUGAAAGCCCCCGGCUCAACCGGGGAGUGGGGCUGGAAACUGGGCUUCUUGAGGGCGAUAGAGGAGUGUGGAAUUCCUGGUGUAGAGGUGAAAUUCGUAGAUAUCGAAAGGAACACCGGUGGCGAAGGCGGCUAUCUGGACAGAAACUGACGCUGAGACGCGAAAGCGUGGGGAGCAAACAGG